rnacentral:rRNA from 1 species
AAAGGAAUUGACGGGACCGCACGAAGCGGUGGAUGAUGUGGAUUAAUUCGAUGCAACGCGAAAACCUUACCUACCCUUGACAUGUCCGGAAUCCCGAAGAGAUUUGGGAGUGCUCGCAAGGAGAACCGGAACACAGGUGCUGCAUGGCUGUCGUCAGCUCGUGUCGUGAGAUGUUGGGUUAAGUCCCGCAACGAGCGCAACCCUUGUCAUUAGUUGCCAUCAUUUGGUUGGGCACUCUAAUGAGACUGCCGGUGACAAACCGGAGGAAGGUGGGGAUGACGUCAAGUCCUCAUGGCCCUUAUGGGUAGGGCUUCACACGUCAUACAAUGGUCGGUACAGAGGGUUGCCAACCCGCGAGGGGGAGCUAAUCCCACAAAGCCGAUCGUAGUCCGGAUCGCAGUCUGCAACUCGACUGCGUGAAGUCGGAAUCGCUAGUAAUCGCGGAUCAGCAUGCCGCGGUGAAUACCGGUUCCCGGGCCUU